UUGACACGCAAAUGAUAAUUGUUAUUAUUAACUCAACUGGUCGCGAGAUCAGCUGAUAAGCUCAAGAGACCUUCAGUCGGACUCUUCAGAUUAUCUCCUCAUCAGGCUAAUCACGGUUUUUGACCCGGCACUUUGCCGGGUCUUUUUUUG
rfam:Vibrio sp. J237 Contig_12, whole genome shotgun sequence.